rnacentral:lncRNA from 1 species
GGCUGGGCCAGGGGGGGUCCUGUAUCACUGCUACGGUAAGGACGGGUCCUGGAAGGGGAAACCAAGGGGGGGAGGGUCCUGGAAGGGAAAGAAUGGGGGGGGAGGUCCUGGAAGGGGAAAGGGCAUUGAAUGGGUUGGGAAGGUCCUGGAAGGUCACAGGGAUGGGGGGGGGGGCGGGCCAGGGGGGGGUCCUGUUCACUGCUAUGGUAAGGACGGGUCCUGGAAGGGGAAAGGGGGGGGGGGAAAGGUCCUGGAAGGUCCAUAAAGAGCCUUGGAAUGGCUGGGUUGGGUUGGGAAGGUCCUGGAAGGUCACAGGGAUGGGGGGGGGCUGGGCCAGGGGGGGGUCCUGUAUCACUGCUAUGGUAAGGACAGGUCCUGGAAGGGGAAAGGGGGGGGGGAAAGGUCCUGGAAGGUCACAGGAUGGGGGGGGGGUCCUGUAUCACUGCUAUGGUAAGGACAGGUCCUGGAAGGGGAAAGGAACAGGGGGGAGGGUCUGUAAGGGGAAAGGGGCAUUGAGUGGGUUGGGAAGGUCCUGGAAGGUCCUGGAAGGUCCAUAAAGAGCAUUGGAAUGGUUGGGAAGGUCCUGGAAGGGGAAAGGAAUGGGGGGGGGAGGGUCCUGGAAGGGAGGAAAGGGGCAUUGAAUGGGUUGGGAAGGUCCUGGAAGGUCACAGGGAUGGGGGUGGGCUGGGCCAGGUGGGUCCUGUAUCACUGCUAUGGUAAGGACAGGUUCUGGAAGGUCCAUAAAGAGCCUUGGGUUGGGUUGGGUUGGGUUGGGAAGGUCCUGGAAGGGCACAAAAAAGGCUGGGGGGGGGGGGGGGUUGGGAAGGUCCUGGAAGGGUAAAGGGGCAGGGGAUGCUUCGGUUGGGUUAUAAGGGUCCUGGAAGGGUAAAGAGUCAAUGGGUUGGGUUGGGAAGGUCCUGGCAGGUCCAUAAAGAGCCUUGGAAUGGCUGUUCGGGUCCUGGCAGUCCAUAAAGAGCCUUGGAAUGGCUGUUCAUCCUGCAGAGGUGCAUAAAGAGCCUUGGAAUGCUGGGUUGGGUUGGAAGGUCCUGGAAGAUCAAUGAACCCAGGGGAUAAUGGGGUUGGGAAGGUCCUGGCAGGUCCAUAAAGAGCCUUGAAUGGCUGUUCGGGUCCUGGCAGGUCCAUAAAGAGCCUUGGAAUGGUUUGGGUUGGUUUGGGAAAGGUCCUGGCAGGUCCAUAAAGAGCCUUGGAAUGGCUGGUCAGGUCCUGGCAGGUAAAUAAACCAUGGGAUAAUGGGUAGUUGAGGUCCUGG